AGCGGCUGCCGAAGAUGGCGGAGGUGCAGGUCCUGGUGCUUGAUGGUCGAGGCCAUCUCCUGGGCCGCCUGGCGGCCAUCGUGGCUAAACAGGUACUGCUGGGUAAGUCGCUGCUCGUGGCCCCUCUGUCAUGGGCCCCCGCUGGAGGUCAGUGAUGAGCAACAUUCACCAUCUUUCGUUUGAGUCUCACGGCCAUGAGAUCAACCCCAUGCACCGCUCUGAGACCUGCCAGCCACUCUUCCCCAGGGUUGGGGACUCCAGGCUCAAGAAGUAAUUAUGUAUUAGGCUAGUUUUUCAUUUAAACAGGAACUUAGCUCUGGCAAGUACUGCGCUGUGUCUGGAGGGUGACUGCAUAGGCAGUGGUGGGACCCUCAGGCGGCUCGGCCCUGCUAAGCCUUUCCCUCCCUCUAGGCCGGAAGGUGGUGGUCGUACGCUGUGAAGGCAUCAACAUUUCUGGCAAUUUCUACAGAAACAAGUUGAAGUACCUGGCUUUCCUCCGCAAGCGGAUGAACACCAACCCUUCCCGAGGCCCCUACCACUUCCGGGCCCCCAGCCGCAUCUUCUGGCGGACCGUGCGAGGUAUGCUGCCCCACAAAACCAAGCGAGGCCAGGCCGCUCUGGACCGUCUCAAGGUGUUUGACGGCAUCCCACC
rnacentral:lncRNA from 1 species